UACGAAGGGUGCAAGCGUUAAUCGGAAUUACUGGGCGUAAAGGGUGCGUAGGCGGUUAGUUAAGUCUGUUGUGAAAUCCCCGGGCUCAACCUGGGAAUGGCAAUGGAUACUGGAUGGCUAGAGUGUGUCAGAGGAUGGUGGAAUUCCCGGUGUAGCGGUGAAAUGCGUAGAUAUCUGGAGGAAUACCGGUGGCGAAGGCGGCAUCCUGGACCGGCAUUGACGCUGAGGAGCGAAAGCUAGGGGAGCAAACGGG
rnacentral:rRNA from 1 species